CAGGGGGCGGUGGCCGCCCUGCAGGAGGUGGAGAAAGGAGUACGUAUUCGUUCAUUGGCUAGAGGGAGUGUGCGUACUAAGCGAUUGAUUGUCUCAGCAGACUCCCUUGGGCAAUACUUCACAGACAUGACUGUGCACGCCAGUCACCCAGAGAUCAUGUUAAAAUGCACAUCUGGUUCAGCAGGCCUAGGUUUCUGUAUGUUAUAGAAGUUCAAAGAAGACAAACUCUAGCCAAGAGCAGUGUGAAGAAAAGAAGACGCUAUAUUAAUCACAGUCCAGGGAUGCCUUCUGGCUUCCUGGCAGCAAUUCCGGCCUUAGAUUCCUUCUCUGUGCAUACUUCCUGUCAACAUUGUGUGAUGUCAAGCUGUAGCCAUCACAAAAGGACUGUGAACACCUGUAAGUCCCAACUAUCAAAAAUCACACCCAGGAAUCCAAAUUAGCAUUAUUAUGUCAAAAGAAAAACCUGAUUUCCUCACUGUC